AUGGAAAUCAAACAAAAGAGAUAACAAAAAAAAUGGAAAUGCCCGUGGUAACCAAAGAAACCCUUAGCAUUUGGGUGGGUCAUCGUGUCGGAGCCAUUAGCUGGAAGGCCGCCGGCGACAAAGAAUAUCGCCCAUAAAAGACUAGCCGUUGAGAGAAUGCUAACUACAAAGAAAAUUCAAAUGGGAGCGUGAAAAAGCAUUUGAAUUUCAAUAUAAAUAUAAACAAUUCAGUUUCAUUCUGUUACAGACAUUCUUUCUUUCUCUGAUUGCCCCUUUCUCUCGAUGUUCUGUUCUGUGAUUCUCCUUUUCUGUCAAUGUUCUGUUCUCUCUGUUUUCUUCAAAAAAUUUUAUAAAUGUUCUGUUCUGUUCUGUUCUCUCGAUGUUCUGUUCUGUGGUUCUCCUUUGCUUUGUUUUCAUUUUUCAUUUUUCUGGUUUUCAGCGUGCACGCUGGUCUGUCUGUCUUUUUUUUGGUAUUACAUUUUUCUGGCAGCGGGGGAAAGGUAGAGCAGAGGAAGAGGCAGAGCAACCGAGAGCAAAUUCUUCUUCCAGGCAUGAGAUGCAGAACCCAGCAAGUGUUCAUAUAACUGAUGCAGAGAGGAAGAAAUGGGAAGUUCCUUAUGACCUGCUUUGUUUAUAGCAAGUAGCUGCUCUAGAAGGAAACCAUAUUUUCAAAACAGCUAACCCAGUGUUUGAAUUCUCCGUGUUCUCAGGCAAUGAGUUAAUCUUCUCCUACACAGCUAACCCAUUUGGAUUUGCUAUCAAGUGCGGAUCCCAUGGAGAGGUUCUGUUCAACUCUUCAUAUGGUAGCUUUGUUUUCAGUAUCCGGUGAGCAGAUACAAAGUUGUUGAGGACUUGGAUGUGCUAUCUGUACCAUGACUGUAAUCCUGUGGUUGUGCAUGGAGAUGUGCACUAAUGUCACAUGGAAGCUCGGAUGUCUGAUUUUUCUUAGCCAGACUCAUGCAGAAGGAAGCCACCAUGUGCUCUAGCGCGUACAUUGUACUAGCCACAUGGAAGCUCAGAUGUCUGAUUUUGCUUAGCCAGAAUCAUGUAGAGGGAAGCCACCAUGUGCUCUAGCGCGUACAUUGCACCAGGGUGGCAGACAUGUAAAACAAGAUCCCUGAGUAGCUUUUUGAAUUAGUUAUUUUUCAUCAUGGUGUAUUCAAAACAGCAAGAGAUGGAAUUAGGCUUGCAUUAUUUUUUUAGUUAUGUUUUGGUCAAGCAUUUUGACUUGAUAGCAUUGUAACAUGUACAAAUACGAUGUUUAAUAAAAAAAUUAUUGGAUUGGAAGGGGUUAAAAACCCCUUCUAAAGACUUAAAUGAA